rnacentral:tRNA from 2 species
GGGUAGGUAGCGAAGUGGUUAAACGCAACAGACUGUAAAUCUGUCGCCCUCGGGCUUCGGAGGUUCGAAUCCUUCCCUACCCA